rnacentral:piRNA from 1 species
UGAAACGGUUUCUGGGUGGCAGAAGGC